CAAAGCAUAGCUUAAUUACAAAGCAUCUAGCUUACACCUAGAAGAUAUCAUGUAAACAUGACUGCUUUGAG
rnacentral:tRNA from 1 species